UACUCCUACGGGAGGCAGCAGUGGGGAAUUUUGGACAAUGGGCGCAAGCCUGAUCCAGCCAUGCCGCGUGUGGGAAGAAGGCCUUCGGGUUGUAAACCACUUUUGUCAGGGAAUAAACGGCCCUUACUAAUAUUAAGAGCUAAUGACGGUACCUGAAGAAUAAGCACCGGCUAACUACGUGCCAGCAGCCGCGGUAAUACGUAGGGUGCAAGCGUUAAUCGGAAUUACUGGGCGUAAAGCGUGCGCAGGCGGCUUUGCAAGACAGAUGUGAAAUCCCCGGGCUCAACCUGGGAACUGCAUUUGUGACUGCAUGGCUAGAGUACGGUAGAGGGGGAUGGAAUUCCGCGUGUAGCAGUGAAAUGCGUAGAUAUGCGGAGGAACACCGAUGGCGAAGGCAAUCCCCUGGACCUGUACUG
rnacentral:rRNA from 1 species